GAGUUUGAUCGUGGCUCAGGACGAACGCUGGCGGCGUGCUUAACACAUGCAAGUCACGGGGGUAGCGAAUACCAACCGGCGAAUGGGUGCGUAACGCGUGAGCAACCUACCGAUUUGAGGGGGAUAGCUGCCCUAACGGGCAGGUAAUACCGCAUACGCUUUUCUGGUCACCUGACCGGGAAAGGAAACCUCCGGGGCAGAUCGAGGGGCUCGCGGCCUAUCAGCUAGUUGGCGAGGUAACGGCUCACCCAAGGCGACGACGGGUAGCUGGUCUGAGAGGAUGGCCAGCCACAUUGGGACUGAGAAACGGCCCAGACUCCUACGGGAGGCAGCAGUGGGGAAUCUUGCGCAAUGGGCGAAAGCCUGACGCAGCGACGCCGCGU
rnacentral:rRNA from 1 species